rnacentral:rRNA from 1 species
UGAGGAAUAUUGGUCAAUGGACGGGAGUCUGAACCAGCCAUGCCGCGUGAAGGAUGAAGGCGCUCUGCGUUGUAGACUUCUUUUGCAGCGGAAGAAACCUUGCUAUUCUUAUCAAGCCGACGGUACCCCGAGAAUAAGCACCGGCUAACUCCGUGCCAGCAGCCGCGGUAAUACGGAGGGUGCAAGCGUUAUCCGGAUUCAUUGGGUUUAAAGGGAGCGUAGGCGGCCUUAUAAGUCGGUGGUGAAAUCUCUGGGCUUAACCCAGAAAUUGCCAUUGAUACUGUAGGGCUUGAGUACUGUUGCGGUGGGCGGAAUAUGACAUGUAGCGGUGAAAUACAUAGAGAUGUCAUAGAACACCGAUUGCGAGGGCAGCUCACUAAGGAAUGAUUGACGCUGAGGCACGAAAGCGUGGGGAUCAAACA